rnacentral:rRNA from 1 species
UACGGGGGGGGCAAGCGUUGUUCGGAAUUACUGGGCGUAAAGGGCGCGUAGGCGGUUGGAUAAGUCAGCUGUGAAAACCACGGGCUUAACUCGUGGCCUGCAGUUGAGACUGUCUGGCUUGAGUGUGGGAGAGGAGAGUGGAAUUCCUGGUGUAGCGGUGAAAUGCGUAGAUAUCAGGAGGAACACCGGUGGCGAAGGCGGCAUCCUGGACCAACACUGACGCUGAGGAGCGAAAGCCAGGGGAGCAAACGGG